AGUGAACGCUGGCGGUAGGCCUAACACAUGCAAGUCGAACGGCAGCACAGUAAGAGCUUGCUCUUACGGGUGGCGAGUGGCGGACGGGUGAGGAAUACAUCGGAAUCUACUUUUUCGUGGGGGAUAACGUAGGGAAACUUACGCUAAUACCGCAUACGACCUACGGGUGAAAGCAGGGGAUCUUCGGACCUUGCGCGAUUGAAUGAGCCGAUGUCGGAUGAGCUAGUUGGCGGGGUAAAGGCCCACCAAGGCGACGAUCCGUAGCUGGUCUGAGAGGAUGAUCAGCCACACUGGAACUGAGACACGGUCCAGACUCCUACGGGAGGCAGCAGUGGGGAAUAUUGGACAAUGGGCGCAAGCCUGAUCCAGCCAUACCGCGUGGGUGAAGAAGGCCUUCGGGUUGUAAAGCCCUUUUGUUGGGAAAGAAAAGCAGCAGGUUAAUACCCCGCUGUUCUGACGGUACCCAAAGAAUAAGCACCGGCUAACUUCGUG
rnacentral:rRNA from 1 species